UUACGAGUCAAGAGGGUCGAUUGAUAUUUCCUCCUUCGAUUCCAUGAACAGCAGUGAGGUUUUCGAUGUCCCAAAGAGAGCGACGGUUCUUGACAUGGAUGGGAUCAUCUGUGAAGUUAGCGAUCAAAACUUUUAAUAAGAGCCUCAAAAUCAAUCUCUAAACCCUAGGGUUAAAUAAGAUAUAGAGUAAACCUUUGAGCUUGUCUCGUCGUCAUGAUCGUUCCCUUUGAGUACUUAUGAAACUUCUUUCCUUUUCCCAGGAGCGGCUCGGUGACGUCGUUCGCUCCUGGGUUCCGUUUCCAACAGAUAUGUACAAAUCCGAGCCCUGGGAUCUACAAGUUACUUUUUUUUUUAGUUCUCUAUCGAAUUGGUUACGAUGAUCUAGUUUUGAUUUAAUUGAUUUUGACUUGGGAUUAUAGACCAGUCGAAAGGUUACUGGAAGACGACUGGCAAGGAUUGCUAAUGGUUCGAGGGCCAUAGGGAUGAAGAAGACCCUUGUUUUGUUUUAUCACAGCCAGGGAUCGAGCUCCUCGUGGUGAAAGAACCAGUUGGGUUAUGCAUGAAUGAAUAUCGGCUUACUGAUGAAGAGUUAAAGAUUGCUGGUGUGCCACGAUGUAGGAUGCGUUUGUGCUAUGUGGGAUAUUCCAGGCCUAAGAAUGGAGAGCACUACGGUGCUCCUUAUCUUGAAGAGGAGUGGGAAAAUGACAUUAUGUACCCGAACAAGAUGGUCUAAGCGUGAAGGAUGAUUGGUUGUUGAUGAUGAUGUUUAUCUCGACCUUGACGAGUUCAGUACCCUCUUUUACUUCUCUGUACUGUCUUGCUUCCGUUGGUGGUCAGUUCCUCUUCUCCUGUUUGCAGUCAUUCUCUGCUUUCCGUAGAUGGGGUGAUUCUGAGCAGGUGUGUUAUUGGUACCUACCAUCUGAUAGAGGAGGCAGGUCACUCUUCCUUAUCCGCACCUUCUAAAACAACCGCAUGGCUAACGCAUAGC